UACGUAGGGUGCAAGCGUUGUCCGGAAUUAUUGGGCGUAAAGAGCUCGUAAGCGGUUUGUCGCGUCUGCUGUGAAAACUCGGGGCUUAACCCCGGGCCUGCAGUGGGUACGGGCAGACUAGAGUGUGGUAGGGGAGACUGGAAUUCCUGGUGUAGCGGUGGAAUGCGCAGAUAUCAGGAGGAACACCGAUGGCGAAGGCAGGUCUCUGGGCCAUUACUGACACUGAGAAGCGAAAGCAUGGGGAGCGAACAGG
rnacentral:rRNA from 1 species